rnacentral:rRNA from 1 species
AACGUAGGUGGCGAGCGUUAUCCGGAUUUACUGGGCGUAAAGCGUGUGCAGGCGGGUUGUCAAGUGGUGUAUGAAAUCGCCCGGCUUAACCGGGCGGAGUUAGGCCAGACUGGCAGCCUGGAGUGCGGGAGAGGGGCGUGGAAUUCCGGGUGUAGUGGUGAAAUGCGUAGAGAUCCGGAGGAACCCCAGCGGCGAAGGCGGCGCCCUGGCCCGCAACUGACGCUCAGACACGACAGCAUGGGGAG